ACCCCGCAACGGUGAGGGAGGCCAAGUUUUUCGCCCUCAGGCACUUUGGCCUCAGCAUAGUUGCGAUGUUGUGUUUGCAUAUUAUCCGGGUUGUUCCGGAUGGGUAGUCAAUCUACCGAUUUUACUUCCUGUAUUUUUGACCUGUCUGUCAAAAUUCAUUCUUGGCACUGCGCCCCAACGCAGUGCUUUUUUUU
rnacentral:other from 1 species